rnacentral:misc_RNA from 1 species
AACGCACAUUGCGCCCAUCAGUAUUCUGGUGGGCAUGCCUGUUCGAGCGUCAUUUCAACCCUUAAGCCUAGCUUAGUGUUGGGAAUCUACUGUACUGUAGUUCCUUAAAGACAGUGGCGGAGCGAUAGUUGUCCUCUGAGCGUAGUAAAUUUAUUUCUCGCUUCUGUAAGGCUCUAUCUUCUCGCCAUAAAACCCCCAAUUUUUUAGUGGUUGACCUCGGAUCAGGUAGGAAUACCCGCUGAACUUAA